UUCCUCAUUUCUUACAUUUGGAUUGACACGAUUUGCCCUACACCGUGUCUACAACGCCGCAACAGCUUGGGACUGACUACUGGAUGUGUUACAUCGCUUCUAAUGAUUGGAAAAUCCGUUUGUACUUCGUGUCAGAAACCGCGCGAGCGCUUGGAGUACAUCUGUAUGUCAGAAAUAUACCGGGGCAUCACUUUACUGUCCUCAUCCACUGUAGAUAAUAUAUACAGUAUAUAAUGGGUUCUAUAUAGUUUUUUAUCGAGUCGCGCCGCACCACUCCACUCGCGUCCGAGGAAGACACGGAAGCAGCGGGGCAGCGCCGCAGGUUUUUCCCGGGGAUGAACCCGCCAGAGUGGGAGAGCUCCGGAGAACAUCUGCGCUGUGUGUCGAUGCACCUUACGAGAGAAUAAGACCAGCAAGCAAGGCAACUGCAAUGAAGCAUCAAGAAAGACAUGAGCAGGCCAGCCACCCUGAGAUUGAUAAUUCAUGAGAAGACAUUUCUGUCACUAACAAAAUGGAUGGUGAGCAAAGGUGGUGGCCACGUUUUGGAGCAGCACCUGGGUUUUGCAGAUGGCUAUGCAUUCUUUGGCUGUUUGUCUUUUCCCC